rnacentral:rRNA from 1 species
UACGUAGGGGGCUAGUGUUGUCCGGAAUCAUUGGGCGUAAAGAGCGUGUAGGCGGUCCGGUAAGUCCGUUGUGAAAGUCAGGGGCUCAACCCUUGAAUGCCGGCGGAUACUGUCGGGCUAGAGUCCGGAAGAGGCGAGUGGAAUUCCCGGUGUAGCGGUGAAAUGCGCAGAUAUCAGGAGGAACACCGGUGGCGAAGGCGGGAUCCUGGGCCAGUACUGACGCUGAGGAGCGAAAGCGUGGGGAGCAAACAGG